UCUCAGAUAGCUCAGUUGGUAGAGCCUGUACUGGCAACAGUACAAAGGUCGGCGGUUCGAGCCCGCCUCUGAGAU
rnacentral:tRNA from 1 species